ACGGGGUGCAGCAGGCGCGAAACCUCCGCAAUGCACGCAAGUGUGACGGGGGGGACUCCAAGUGUUUUCUCUUUUAGAGAAAACUUUUCUUAAGUGUAAAAAGCUUGAGGAAUAAGGACUGGGCAAGACGAGUGCCAGCCGCCGCGGUAAUACUCGCAGUCCAAGUGGUCUGGAGUUUUAUUGGGUCUAAAGCAUUCGUAGCCGGGUUUGUAAGUUCUCUGUGAAAUCUGGCAGCUUAACUGUCAGGCGUGCAGAGGAUACUGCUUAUCUUGGGACCGGGAUGGGCCAAGGGUACUUCUGGGGUAGGGGUGAAAUCCAAUAAUCCUAGGGGGACCACCUGUGGCGAAGGCGCUUGGCUAAAACGGGUCCGACGGUGAGGGAUGAAAGCUAGGGGAGCGAACGGGAUUAGAUACCCCGGUAGUCCUAGCCGUAAAUGAUGCAGACUAGGUGUUGCAUUCUUUUCGUGAGAGUGCAGUGCCGUAGGGAAGCCGUUAAGUCUGCCACCUGGGAAGUACGGUCGCAAGUCUGAAACUUAAAGGAAUUGACGGGGGAGCACAACAAGGGGUGGAGUCUGCGGUUUAAUUGGAUUCAACGCCGGAAAUCUCACCGGGGGCGACAGCAGUAUGAAGGUCAGGUUGACGAUCUUACUAGACUUGCUGAGAGGUGGUGCAUG
rnacentral:rRNA from 1 species